CGCGGGUUGAUGUAAUAGUAACAUAUUUGGCUCAUGACCAGAGUAUAGAGGUGCAAUUCCUUUGUCCGCAU
rnacentral:tRNA from 1 species